CUUUACGCUGUGGAGGUUGAAUGGGACGCACACUCUGCCAAGCAUUUCCAGGAGGGCUGAGGACAUAAUCUAGCUUAUGAUUCUAUAAGACACAAUAAGUAAACCAUUGACAAUUAUACCCUAACAAAUAAAUAAACAAAUAAGUCAAUCUUGGGGCAGCCUUCCCUGUGUUUGAAUAUUUUCAUUAUGUUUCUUGCUCAGAGGCAGUUUGUUAUCCACCCAGCUGGGGAAUGGAAUGCUCCUUUCCUCUCUAAUAUCCAUUCUCUCCUUUGUUUGUGCUAGAACCCCCAGUUAUUAGCUAGGCACACGCCCACCCAGAAUAAAGACUAUUUCCUAGCCUCCUGAUUGCUAGACAAGACUAUGAGACCAAAUUUUGGCCAAUGGGAUGUUAAUGGAAAUGUUGGAUGUAAUAGCUGAUAAAUAUUUUUAUUUAUUUCUUUAUUUUGGAGACAGAAUCUUGCUUUUACUGCUCAAGCUGGAGUGCAGUGGUGCCAUCAAAGCUCACUGCAGCCUCAACCUCCUGGGAUCAAGUGAUCCUCCCGCCUCAGCCUCCUGAGUAGCUGGGACCACAGUUGUCAGCCAUCAUGCCCAACUAAUUUUUAAAAUUUUCGUAGACACAGAGUCUCCCUACAUUGCCCAUCCUGGUCUCAGUAACUCCCGGGCUCAAUCAGUUCUCCUGCCUCAGCUUCCCAAAGUGCUGGAAUUAUAGGGGUGAGCCACAAAGGCCAGUCUGUGAAGUGUUUUUAAAUGGUAAGGUGUAGGUUCAUUUUUGCACCUUCCUCCUCCUCACUGCUUGGAAAAAGGAGAUGAGAUGGUAGGAGCCAAGCAGACUUCCAGGACCAGGAAGCCGACAGAGCAGGAGGGAGAAAGGAGCCUGAAUCCAGUAAUACACAAUAUUGGCAACAAUGCAACAAAAUGGACACACUCUACUCUCCAGCGGGAGUGUUAAAAAAACGAAAAGAAGAGAAAGAAAAAAGGAAAGAAGCAGAAGGAAGAACUCUGCUGCAGUACUGGAAGCAGGCAGAUUAUUUAAAUUACGGUGGUGCCAUGGAACAAGAGAAGGCAGAUGAAGAGCGACACCCUUCAAGUUAACACAGGAACAAUUAACAAUAGAAUCCUUAAGAUGCAAAACUCCUUGCUGUUUACCAGCAACAGAAGAGAGGAAGAAGUGGCUCUGGGGGAAUUGCGUGCCAGUCUGCGGCAGGUUGGCUGGAGAAGCAGCCCUGGUUGGAGCUUUGGAGAGACACAUGUGCAUUUACUUGUUACCUGGAAGACCUUUUAAAAAAAAUUCUCGUAAAUCUGUCAUUUGUGUAUCCUCAAGGUUUGUGGCAGAAAGCAGAUAUAUCUGCUCCUGUGUGUAAUUGUUGUUAAAAAACACAAAAAGGAAAUAAAAG
rnacentral:lncRNA from 10 species